GGUGGAUCCCCGCUGGAGCGGCGACGUCCUCCCUUGCAUUCCUCUUCAGUCGUUGGCCCAAGAGCAACGUCACCGGCCUUGGCCGCCCGCGGGUUUCCUAUAUUGCAUACCUACCAGAAGGAAUUCGGACGACACAACGACCGACGUUCUCCGGGCGAUGUGGCUCCCCUUGUGUGGGCGCAGCGUGGGUUGAACCGCGAAGGCGAGUUUGUAUUCCGAGUCGCAGCCAAACGACGCGUCUCGACCCACGAGCUGCCGCCUGAGCUCUCGGAUGCAGUGCACCAGGAGGGCAAGGGUUGCUCGAUGACCUCUAUUUGCCCGAACUUGGCGUCAAUCGCUCGCACCGAAC
rnacentral:misc_RNA from 1 species